rnacentral:tRNA from 1 species
GUUUCGCAUGGACGGCGGCCUCGUCGGCGCCUGCCAUGCGCCAGCGCAUGGCCCAGGCGUCGAGGAACAGCGGUUCGCUGUCGUAGCGGUGGC